UCACUCUAGCGAGACUGCCGUUGACAAAACGGAGGAAGGUGGGGACGACGUCAAAUCAUCAUGCCCCUUAUAUCCUGGGCUACACACGUAAUACAAUGGCGGUCAACAGAGGGAAGCAAAGCCGCGAGGCAGAGCAAACCCCCAAAAGCCGUCCCAGUUCGGAUUGUAGGCUGCAACUCGCCUGCAUGAAGUCGGAAUCGCUAGUAAUCGCGGAUCAGCAUGCCGCGGUGAAUACGUUCCCGGGCCUUGUACACACCGCCCGUCACACCAUGAGAGUCGGGAACACCCGAAGUCCGUAGCCUAACCUGAAAAGGAGGGCGCGGCCGAAGGUGGGUUCGAUAAUUGGGGUGAAGUCGUAACAAGGUAACCGAUAA
rnacentral:rRNA from 1 species